CCGGCGACCGGCGGACGGGUGCGUAACGCGUAUGUAACCUACCUUUGACAGGGGGAUAACAUCGAGAAAUUGGUACUAAUACCCCAUAACAUCACCGGAGGCAUCUUCGGUGGUUGAAAACUCAGGUGGUCAGAGAUGGACAUGCGUUGUAUUAGCUAGUUGGUGAGGUAACGGCUCACCAAGGCGACGAUACAUAGGGGGACUGAGAGGUCAACCCCCCACCAUUGGUACUGAGACACGGACCAAACUCCUACGGAAGGCAGCAG
rnacentral:rRNA from 1 species